ensembl:lncRNA
CCAAGCGUGAUGAAAAAUCUACAUUCAAAACGCAUUCAACACACGCUUGGUUUGGUUCAUUGAGAGCAUACGGACAUUAUAUUUUCACUAAAAUGUAGUGAACUGCAUUUAUUAUUCACAAGCAUCAGACCAACGCCCUCAAACCCAAGGCUCGUAUUACUAAGCACCACGCCAAUGAAAUAAUCAAUAAGUCUGAGUGAUGUUUUGGCUCAUCGCUCUUACCAGUGAACCUGUUCACUACAGCGAAGAGGAAAUAACACUAUUAUAGUUUAGAAAGUAUAAGUCAUGCAUUUAACACUGCUGUCGACACAAAAAAACACAAUGCUCCAUUUGGGUGACGCUUUCAUUUCUUGGCAAAAAACGAAAUUCUAAGUUAAAACAUCUAAUGGCAUCAAAAUAUAUGCAAAACAUAACCAAAUAUAUGGAGUAUCAAUAUUGAAAAGGCAAAGACAUAUUUUAAAGUAGUCGAUUGCAAAGCGAGUGUCUCAGGUUUUGGGGAUUUUCAGAUCGGUUGAGAAAGGAAGACAAGGAGGAAUAGAGAAUAAAAUAAGAGAUUUGAAUUGGGCCAACGUCAAGACUCCAGUGUGAACUGGUCUCUUCCCAGAAACUGACCCGCAUGCACAAAAGAUGAUGAUGAAGAUGAUGAUCACAAGCUCCUCUACAAAGUCCUUCACAUCAGAAUGAAAAUAGUCAGAACGCACGUGAUUUGUGACGUUCACAAAACAAAACUAAGUCCAAAUGCCAAAGUUCAAAUAGUUCUUCUUCUGUUUAAGCAGAACGACCAACAGGUUUUACAAAAUGAUGCAUAGCAUUUUCAAACAGCUUAGUUUGUUGUGGGACGAACGGCAAAAAGACCAAAACAUUUAAAGGGACAAAGUCUGAGGUCCAAUAGCGUCGUCAUCAUCUCCUAUUCUGUCUGCAUAUGAUGAUCAGCUUUAUUCCAACAGUCUUUGAUGAUGCGAAUGGCCUACUUACGGCCAAAAUAUCCCAGCGCAAAUCUAUGAAUGAGUUUUGCUUUGCUGGCAAUCCAUUCAUUCACUACGGCCUCAUACAGAAAAAAGCCACUUGAGGAGACUUGAAACUUGCAUCGUUAGCUAAUCAACCCAAACAAACACACGUGUCCAUUUGAAACAAACACACAGACGACACUAAUCACAAACACACCCACACACACACUGGGCCUGCUGGGUCUCAGGCAGUUCAGGAAUCAAUAACUCAAUACUGAACAGGAAACCGUUAUUGGUCUCUGGCCGGUCAGACACCUCCAUCAGACAGCUGUCACCAGCCUUAGAAAUCAAACAGCACCACGCAGUGAGCCUGCAGGGCGAGUAAAACCUGCAACUAUCAACUGUGCAAGUCAAUCAACGCAGCAACACAUUGCUCAUGCAAACACACAAUCAGCAUUGCUGCACCACUCGUUGACACCAAUAUGUGUAACACUUCUAUGACGCUAUUGCAGCACUCCGUGCAUUACCUCCCAGUCCCCGACUAGUGGUGUGUGCGUGGCGGUGACAGCAGCAGCGGUCCCCUCUCCAUCUUCACGUCACCAAUUCACCGGUGUCCUUCGGUUAACCAUCCGUCCGUCCUGCGCCAGCGUCCCUUAAAAAAACACACUCGUUACCGCCCGGAUCCAUCCGCCAGCAUCCCCGCCGAUCGUCGCCCCGAUCUGGAGUCAGAGAGAUGCUGCGCUCAGACGCCACCGCCGGUGCUCUCGAUUCAGCUCAUUGGUGCGGAGCCGCCACGCGUCAGAUGAUCAGCAGCGGUGCAGCGCACGCAGGCAUCCGAAGACGAAGCCUCGUGACGCGGGUUGGGAAAAGGCCCCGGCCGUGCACUGUAGUUUCGGGCGAGCGACCAAUCCGUGGAAUAGCGCUUGUUUGGUGAAGAGACGGGAGGUGUUGAAGAGCGAGACAGCCGGGACACCGGGGGACAUGUCCUCGCGCGCGUCUGUGGGACCGUGAUGAGUUUGACGAUGACGCACUCGGUAGUCGGUAGGCUACUUAUCUUCAAAAAGGCCCGAGUCAGAACAUGUCCGCUGACUGUUACUAUUGGCCCAUUCCUGCAGCCAGAGCUGAUGUUGGAGAUCAAAACGCUCAUCGCUGGAGGACACGACAGCGCCUCCGACCAUCACAACCUCAACCCUUACCGCCGUAUGUUACAUACACAACUAUACUUCAUUGUGGUGAUUGAGCUACUCACCGAUGAAUGAUCACAUUGAAUGUCGUCACCCUGCUCGAUGGCGUCCACGGCGAUGAAGGUUUCAGUGCUGACGGGUCGGAAAGUGCACAAAGUUGUCCUAAAAAAAAAACGGCCCCUCUAAAACAAAGUUGUGACUCUAAAUAUUUCCAAAGAAACAAAGCAAAUACCAACUCAACUCAACUACGUUCGAUUCACAGAUGGAAACUCUUACUCUCGUCCACAUGGAAAGAUUCGGGAAAGAAAAAGCACCUGUGUGGCCUCUGUUGUGAUUAUUUGUCUGCCGGAAUGCAGUGGCACUGGUGUGACACUGAUGCAGGUUACAAGACAAUGUGAGAAUAAGCGGUAAUCCAUAACAAAAUCUCCAAGUUGGCUCAAGAACUACAGAAGCAGGAAGCGGAAAAGACGUGACGAGUGAACGUCCCCAGCAGUUUAUUGGGAAUCAAAUUGGAUAUCGUGCUCAUUUUCAGGUUCAUACUUGUUUUGUGUAGACAAUACGUUUACACGCUUUAGUCUUUCUGUUCCAUUUAGCGCCGGUUGCUCUGAGCACUGCAUCCGGUCACGAUGAGAGGAUAAACUCAAGGACUAUGCAGCAGGUCACAGUUGGGUUUUUGAAGAAUCCCCAUGUCCUCUCCACCUCAUUUUCUCCCACUCCCUCCAUUCCUGCUGUCUCUGCAGAUUUAACGUGUCUGCGUGGCGGGCUGCCAUCCCCGACUGCACAAUCGUCCAACAACCAGCGUGAUGAGCGAAGUGGGGGAAAAUAAAGAUGAGGAAGAGGCGUUCCUCAGGGAAAGUGAGGCCUCGGCCGUUGUUUCAUGAGGCCUAAUCACAAUGAUGAACCGUCCAAAGAAAAACACAAUUCCUUAGAUAGGACUCGGACGGCGUUUAAUGAUAAGCCGCUGGACGUUACGCGUUAUCGUGGCACCCUUUCAACUCAGAUCUGACCCUCCACCCCGCCAAGUCGCUCUCCGCCAUGGAAACCAGUAGUUACGGCCGAUCUGAACACACUCGUUCUGGAAACUGCAGUCAGAGCUUUUCGCGGCCCUGCUUGGCUGAACCCGGAGCUCGGUUUGGUUCCACAUGCCGUACGUGUACUGGAGGCCUCUGUGCUCACGAACAGAGUCUGGAUCACACAAAGGAUCAGCCAAAGAGGUCCGGACCACAGAGCGCACGUGAGGUGAUGUCCUUAAAGAACGCACACAUGUUGGGGAUGUUUUUAAUGGGCUG